UACGUAUGGGGCGAGCGUUAUCCGGAUUCAUUGGGCGUAAAGCGCGCGUAGGCGGCCGCCUAAGCGGAACCUCUAACCCCGGGGCUCAACCUCGGGCCGGGUUCCGGACUGGGCGGCUCGAGUGCGGUAGAGGAGAGCGGAAUUCCCGGUGUAGCGGUGGAAUGCGCAGAUAUCGGGAAGAACACCGAUGGCGAAGGCAGCUCUCUGGGCCGUGACUGACGUUGAGGCUCGAGAGCGUGGGGAGCAAACAGG
rnacentral:rRNA from 1 species